GAUGAACGCUGGCGGCGUGCCUAAUACAUGCAAGUCGAGCGAACGUACGAGAAGCUUGCUUCUCUGAUGUUAGCGGCGGACAGGUGAGUAACACGUGGAUAACCGACCUAUAAGACUGGGAUAACUUCGGGAAACCGGAGCUAAUACGGGAUAAUAUUUUGUACCGCAUGGUUCAAAAGUAUAAAACGGUCUUGCUGUCAUUUAUGGAUGUAUCCGCGCUGCAUUAGCUAGUUGGUAAGGUAACGGCUUACCAAGGCAACGAUGCAUAGCCGACCUGAGAGGGUGAUCGGCCACACUGGAACUGAGACACGGUCCGGACUCCUACGGGAGGCAGCAGUAGGGAAUCUUCCGCAAUGAGCGAAAGCCUGACGGAGCAACGCCGCGUAGGUGAUGAAGGUUUUCGGUUCGUAAAACUCUGUUAUUAGGGAAGACCAUAUGUGUAAGUAACUGUGCACAUCUUGACGGUACCUAAUCAGAAAGCCACGGCUAACUACGUG
rnacentral:rRNA from 1 species